CGGACUGAGAUUCGUCCAAAAAAGACUAUUUUCGGGAAACAACCCUGGCCUUGGGAGGCCAGGCGAUUCUCCCGGUCGUCCUCAUCCCAUCUCCAUCGAACUCCAUCCCCACGCACGCCUCCUUGGACACCAUCCCCGCGAGGUCCAUCCCCACACACGUCUCCUCCACCGCCAUCUCCGCGAGCACCUCCGCCUCCUUCCCGCAUGCUCCUUUUGAUCUCGACAAGGUUUGCGCGGGGUAGGCAAAACCGCCUAGCACCAGUCGAGCCCUCCCCCCUCCUCCUGCGAGUCGCGGCAACCCACGAGCGUGUCUAUCCAUCGACUUUCUGUCAGAAAAGGCCACUCGCGGUUUGUCGUGCACGCCGCGUCCAGGUUGGAAUGGUUCGUUUCUUGGACUCGCGACUUCAGCCUUUGGUUACUCACUUACUCUCCUAGAUAUCAUAGUGCCGCCUGUGGAAUGGUCCGUUGCUGGUGCUACUUGCUCAUGGAGUUAUGGUGGUAGGCGUAGGCCACUUCGUCUGCCUCCUGGAUUUCUCACUGCUGCAUCGGCUCCGAAAGCAAAUUAGACAACUAUAGUUCUGUUAUGGUGAUUGUAGUACAGUUUCAGCUCUAACCUAUGGAAAAUUGAAUGGCAGUUGCACUAAUCUGUUGGUGGAAUGAUUUUCCCAGUAAUUUCCUGGGCAAGCAGAUGGCUGAGAACCAUCUACCUUAUGAGAAAUGAUGCCUUGUAUGGUUCAGUAUAGUUCUUGUAUUGCUUGUUUGAAUUAAUUCCUGUAUGGCAGUUGCACUAAACUGAAUGGCAGUUGCACUUUGAGAUAUUCUUCUAUUGCUGGUUUAAAACCAUGGUGACUGUUCUUGUAUGCAUUCUGUAUGAAUUCUUGUUUAAAACCUGGUUGCUUCUAUA